rnacentral:lncRNA from 1 species
CUUGCCCAGAUGAAGUUAUUGUUGUGGACUGACCUAAGAUGUUUUAGUAUAUCCUGUCCUCAGAAGAUACACAGAAGAUAAUUCCUGUCCUACAGAAGUACCACAUAGAACCAGGAGGAGAUCAGGCAGCAUGGACAGGGCCAGCCUACUCCAGUGGCCUUGGUCCCAGACAUGCAUGUCUCUGAGCUGUGCUCAUCUGUGUUUGAAUUGA